rnacentral:rRNA from 1 species
ACGAACGCUGGCGGCGUGCUUAACACAUGCAAGUUGAACGGUGAAGCGCCUUCCUUUUUGGUGGGUGUGGAUGAGUGGCGAACGGGUGAGUAACACGUGAGUAACCUGCCCCCUUCUUCUGGAUAACCGCAUGAAAGUGUGGCUAAUACGGGAUAUUCUGGGUCUGUCGCAUGAUGGGUCCGGGAAAGAUAUUGUUUCGGUGGGGGAUGGGCUCGCGGCCUAUCAGCUUGUUGGUGGGGUGAUGGCCUACCAAGGCGGUGACGGGUAGCCGGCCUGAGAGGGUGGACGGUCACACUGGGACUGAGACACGGCCCAGACUCCUACGGGAGGCAGCAGUGGGGAAUAUUGCACAAUGGGCGCAAGCCUGAUGCAGCGACGCCGCGUGAGGGAUGGAGGCCUUCGGGUUGUGAACCUCUUUCGCCAGUGAAGCAGGCCUGCCUCGUUUGUGGGUGGGUUGACGGUAGCUGGAUAAGAAGCGCCGGCUAACUACGUG